rnacentral:rRNA from 1 species
UACAUGUGGGGCAAGCGUUGUUCGGAAUUACUGGGCAUAAAGGGUGCGUAGGUGGUUUGUUAAGUCACUGGUGAAAGUUUGCGGCCCAACCGUAAAAUUGCCUGUGAUACUGGCGAACUUGAGUGCGUGAGGGAUUGGGGGAACGAGCAGUGUAGCGGUGAAAUGCGUAGAUAUUGCUCGGAAGGCCGGAGCCGAAGGGGCCCCAUUGGUACGUAACUGACGCUGAGGCACGAAAGCGUGGGGAGCAAACAGG